CCUACGGGAGGCAGCAGUGGGGGAUAUUGCACAAUGGGGGGAACCCUGAUGCAGCGACGCCGCGUGAGCGAUGGAGUGCUUCGGCACGUAAAGCCCUGUCAGCAAGGAAGAAAAUGACGGUACCUGACUAAGAAGCCCCGGCUAAAUACGUGCCAGCAGCCGCGGUAAUACGUAUGGGGCAAGCGUUAUCCGGAUUUACGGGGUGGAAAGGGAGCGUAGGCGGCCUGGUAAGCCCGAUGUGAAAAAACGGGGCUCCACCCCUGGUAUGCAUUGGAAACUGCCAGGCUUGAGUGCCGGAGAGGAAGGCGGAAUUCCUAGUGUAGCGGUGAAAUGCGUAGAUAUUAGGAGGAACACCAGUGGCGAAGGCGGCCUGCUGGACGGUGACUGACGCUGAGGCUCGAAAGCGUGGGGAGCAAACAGGAUUAGAUACCCGGGUAGUC
rnacentral:rRNA from 1 species